AUGCGCGACUCCGAGCUGGCCAAAGAAGUUCUUACCCUUUGUGAGGCCCGGGAUGGGAGGCGCCCGGUUCCCCCAGGGACAGCUCCAAGCGGUAGGGACAGACAUCUGAGGACCCAGCCUCAGGGAUGCUGUCCCCGGGCUUCCAGGCUCCAGCGCCGUAGGACUGAGGCAGACUCCACGGUGAGAAAGAGACCCGACCUAACCCAGGCCUUUCAUCAGAGCCCAGGAGGGAAGGCAGGAAGUGGGACCACGAGGCCCGGGGGGCUUCUAACUCGUCUGGCCAGGGAGAUCUGAAUUGGGGUGAAGAGCAGAAUCUCCAGAACCAGGAGGAGGUGGUGAUCAUGGAGACAGAUUUGGCUGAAAUGCCUGAGAAAGGAGGUGAGAAUUGCGGACGUGUUGAACUUGUGGCGUGGAAGGACGAAAUUCCUGCUCCUGAAGGGAAAACGGUUGGCUCAGGGGAGGUGGCUCUUGGCUGGCUGUCUCCAUUGUCUUGGGGAUGGGUGGGCUUUUUAAGUGAGACUGAAGGGCUUGGUAUGGGAGCACCGCCCUUU
rnacentral:sRNA from 1 species